GGAGGAAAAGAAACUAACAAGGAUUCCCUCAGUAACGGCGAGUGAACAGGGAACAAGCUCAAAGUUGGAAUCUAUCUGGCUUAGCCAGAUCGAAUUGUAAACUUUAGAGUCGUUGUCCAGACCAGCCGAGUAAAUAAGUUCCUUGGAAUAGGACAUCAUGGAGGGUGAGAAUCCCGUCUUUGGCUUGAGCAUUGGUCUUUUGUGAUGCGACUUCAACGAGUCAGGUUGUUUGGGAAUGCAGCCUUAAUUGGGUGGUAAAUCUCACCUAAAGCUAAAUAUUGGCGAGAGACCGAUAGCGGACAAGUACCGUGAGGGAAAGAUGAA
rnacentral:sRNA from 1 species